rnacentral:rRNA from 1 species
GAUGAACGCUAGCUACAGGCUUAACACAUGCAAGUCGAGGGGUAACGAGAGGGAAGCUUGCUUUCCUUGUCGACGACCGGCGCACGGGUGAGUAACGCGUAUCCAACCUGCCCCCAACUAGGGAAUAACCUUGCGAAAGUAAGACUAAUACCCUAUAAUUUCCUCAGAUGUCAUCUGACGAGGACUAAAGAUUCAUCGGUUGUGGAUGGGGAUGCAUCUGAUUAGCUUGUUGGCGGGGUAACGGCCCACCAAGGCAACGAUCAGUAGGGGCUCUGAGAGGAAGGUCCCCCACAUUGGAACUGAGACACGGUCCAAACUCCUACGGGAGGCAGCAGUGAGGAAUAUUGGUCAAUGGGCGGAAGCCUGAACCAGCCAAGUAGCGUGCAGGAUGACGGCCCUAUGGGUUGUAAACUGCUUUUAUACAGGAAUAAAGUUAGCCACGUGUGGUUAUUUGUAGGUACUGUAUGAAUAAGGACCGGCUAAUUCCGUGCCAGCAGCCGCCGUAA